rnacentral:rRNA from 1 species
UACGGAGGGUGCAAGCGUUAUCCGGAUUCACUGGGCUUAAAGGGUGCGUAGGCGGGCAGGUAAGUCCGUGGUGAAAUCUCUGAGCUUAACUCAGAAACUGCCAUGGAUACUAUUUGUCUUGAAUGUUGUGGAGGUAAGCGGAAUAUGUCAUGUAGCGGUGAAAUGCUUAGAUAUGACAUAGAACACCAAUGGCGAAGGCAGCUUACUACACAAAUAUUGACGCUGAGGCACGAAAGCGUGGGGAUCAAACAGG